GGCACUGACUGCUACCGGAUUGAUACUAAGCCAUGCGAGUCAUUGUAGUAAUACAAGGCAGACGGCUCAGUAACGCGUAGCCACCUAACCUAUGGACGGGAAUAACCUCGGGAAACUGAGUAUAAUGCCCGAUAGAACAUUAUGCCUGGAAUGGUUUAUGUUCCAAAUGAUUUAUCGCCGUAGGAUGGGACUGCGGCCUAUCAGUUUGUUGGUGAGGUAAUGGCCCACCAAGACUAUUACAGGUACGGGCUCUGAGAGGAGUGGCCCGGAGAUGGGUACUGAGACACGGACCCAGGCCCUAUGGGGCGCAGCAGGCGAGAAAACUUUGCAAUGUGCGAAAGCACGACAAGGUUAAUCCGAGUGGUUUCUGCUAAAGGAACCUUUUGUCGGUCCUAGAAACACCGAUGAAUAAGGGGUGGGCAAGUUCUGGUGUCAGCCGCCGCGGUAAAACCGGCACCUCAAGUGGUCAGGAUGAUUAUUGGGCCUAAAGCAUCCGUAGCCGGCUUUGUUAGUUUUCGGUUAAAUCUGUACGCUUAACGUACAGGCUGCCGGGAAUACUGCAGAGCUAGGGAGUGGGAGAGGUAGACGGUACUCGGUAGGAAGGGGUAAAAUCCUUUGAUCUAUUGAUGACCACCUGUGGCGAAGGCGGUCUACCAGAACACGUCCGACGGUGAGGGAUGAAAGCUGGGGGAGCAAACCGGAUUAGAUACCCGGGUAGUCCCAGCUGUAAACUAUGCAAACUCAGUGAUGCAUUGGCUUGUGGCCAAUGCAGUGCUGCAGGGAAGCCGUUAAGUUUGCCGCCUGGGAAGUACGUACGCCAGU
rnacentral:rRNA from 1 species